GGCUAGUUUAGCCCUUGGGGCUAUAAAUAGAAGUGGUGGCCGGCCUUGGCUGGUGCUGAGCACCCUUGGAACUUAGUGUCCAUGCUUGGGGAGUGCUAGUGAGGCCUCUAACUCACAUAUGCUUGAUAGUGAUCAUCCGAUUGUGUGAGUGAGCGAUUCUAGUGCGUUGCAUUGAGAGAUUGCAUCGAGUGACACUAGGUGUUCGUGUUGCAAGCCGGUGGUGCUUGUUACUCUUGGAGGUUGCCACCUCCUAGACGGCUUGGUGGCUUGUGACUCCGUCGAAGCACGCAAGGAGAUUGUGCGGUGCUCCGGAGAAGAGAUUGUGAGGGGUACGGUGCUCACCCCGCGGAGAUCGCGAAGAGCAACUCUAGUUGAGCGAGACGUGAAGAGCGACAAGUGGUCCGGCCAGGUCAAGUGCUAGAGCUUGUGGUAAGCACUCCACGUGGGAGAGUGUGACUUGCGGGUCACCACUAGCAAGAGGACCGGCGGCAACCUUGGAGCUUGUCUCAACGGGGACGUAGCUUGGUGGCAACCAAGUGAACCUCGGGAGAAAAUCAUCGUGUCAACAUUGUUCUUCCCGUUGGUUUGCAAGUCCCUAACACAAGCUUGUAUUUACAUUCAUAUAUUUAUGCUUGUGUAGUUGCUCUUGUAAUUAGUUAGCUUGUGUAGCUUGCUAGUUAUCUUCUUGCUUGUGUAGCUAGAAGUAGUUCCCUUGCGUGACUAAUUUGGUUUGUGUAACCUUGUCAGUCACAUUGCUUAGUUUGUGUAGCUAAGUAUUUUGCGCUCUCUAAUUUGGCAUUGGUUGCCUUGUUAUUGAGCUUGCUAGUGAGCUUAGGCUUUGUGCGCUUUGCCUCACUAGUUUGAGUAGAAGCUCCCCCGGUUUGCAAAGUACUAGCUGCAUAGGUUUGUGUGACCUUGCUCCUAGAAUUGUAUAGGCGAGCUCUUGCUAAGGUAGCACCUUGCUUGCUUGUUUAGAAUCUUUUCAAGGUGCUAGAGAACUUAGAUAGAGGGGUGUAGUCUUGGCUAGACCGAUAGUUUUAAUUCCGCAUUUGUUUCGGUUAGCCGGCGUAGUAAAUUUUAGAAAGGACUAUUCACCCCCCCUCUAGUCCGCCAUCUCGACCCUACAAGUGGUAUCAGAGCUAGGUCUCUCAUUUGUGGUCUUCACCGACCCGAGAGGAUGGCUGCUUAUGGGCUAGAUGUUGAGUGUCCACACAUUUUUGAUGGCACACACUUUGCACGGUGGAGAAAUUGGAUGCAAUGCAAUUUUAAGUUUAUUUCUCCUCAAAUGUGGUGGAUCGUAGGUGUGGGCUUUUCUUGUGCAAUUGAUAAAAAGGUUGCAACUCAAGUGCAAAAGAAAUGCCUACAUCUUGAUUGCCAAGCUACUAACAUCUUCUACUCAUCUAUGAAAGAUAAUAUUUUUGGUGAGAUCAUGGAUAUGAAGUCCGCCCAUGAGAUUUGGGUAUUUCUCAAUGAGAAAUAUGGGGCAAUAUCCAAAGAAGAUGAUGUGCCAAAGGUGGACGCAAAUGAGGAUGCAGAGCAUGACCACAUUGUGGUUGUGGAGGAUUGCUCCACCUCAUGGUCAAGUGAUGCAAAUGAUGAUGCUACCUCAUGCACACUUGAUGAUGAAGAUGAUGGCUAUGAGAGUGAUGCUUCCACAAGCUCAUCUACUACAUCACCACAUUGCUUCAUGUCACAUGGUGACACUAAGGUAUCUAUCGGUGAUGUGAUUAUUGAUUGUGAUGGUCCAAAUUUUGAGCUUGUAUGCAAACUCUCAAAAGCUUUAAGAAAUGAGCUAGAAAAAACAAAUAAACUGAAAAAUGAAAACUCAUUUCUAAAGACCACAUGUGAACAACAAAAACUCAUUUCUACUUUAUGUUACUACUUGUUCACAUGAGGAGCUAAACUUGGUUCAUGAGGAACUUUGUGUUACUCAUGAUAACUUGGUAAAAGAUCAUGCAUUUCUCACUAAGAAGAUUUCUAAUGAAGAAAUUAAAACUAGUGAGAGCUCAUAACUUGGGUCAAAUGAUCAAUCACAUAUUGUUACUAACCCUUGUGAUGUAGGCAAGAAGCAUGUAUCCACCUCUUGUGAUGAUUUAUUAUCUAUGCCAUGUUCUUCACAUUUAGAUGCUUGUUCUACUUCUAUGUCUUGUGAGACUAACCUUUUGAAGGAGAACAAUAAGCUCAAUGAACAAGUGAAGAAUUUGAGCAACAAGCUAGAGAGGUGCUACUACUCAAAAGUCACCUUUGAGAAUAUAUUGAAGACCCAAAGAAACUAUGGUGACAAAUAUGGCCUUGGCUUCAAGAAGAAGAUGACAAAGGGCAAAAGAAAGCAAGAAAAGAGGAAGCUUUCUCAUUUUAUGUGCUAUCGGUGCCAUGAAAUGGGACAUCUUGCUAAUGGUUGCCCAAACAAAGAGAAGCUCAAGAAGAUGAAAGAAGAAGAGAGGCUCAAGCAUGUCAAGUGCUUCAAGUGCCGCACUUGGGGUCAUCUCACCUCAAUGUGCCCAACCAAGCAAUUGGUGAAGCAUCAAGCGAAGCCUCAACAAAAGCCACAAGUUGAGCAAGAAAAUGCACCCCAAGCUCAAGUCAAGAUCAACCAUGAUUGUGAUGACUUCAUGAUGAUAAAAAAGAAAACAAGAAGGGGUGGAAGAGCAAGGCAUCCAAUGCAAAUCCAAGAUGCCAAGAUGAUGAGCAAGAAUCAAGACAAGAAUAAAGCUUAUGCUCACAUCAAGUGCUUUGAGUGCAAGGACGAUGGACACUUUGCCUCAAAGUGUCCCACCAAGCUUGAGAAGAAGGCUCAAGCAACUUUCAAGAGGCAAGGCAAUGAGAAGCAACAUAUGAGCAAGGAAGAAAAGGCUCAAUCCAAAAGAAGUUGCUACUUAUGCCGGGAAAGGGGACACAUGGCUCAUUCAUGUCCCCUAGGUAAUAAUUCUAAGCCUAUUUCAAUUGAUGAUAUUACUAUGCUUAGAAAGGAUGGUAAUGGUACCUCUAUGGUUGCUAUUGCAAAACAUCCCGCUACUCAUACUAAGGCAUUGCCUAAGUAUGUUGCACCUAACUUGAGAGGACCCAAACUAGUUUGGGUACCAUCAAAAAGUGGAUGCUUGUUUGUAGGUACCAUCGGCAUUGUAGACUUGAUUUAAUUGAUCUUAUAUUAUUCAUCAUAUGACUGAGUCAAGUAUUGAAGCUUAGUGCUUAUCUUAUCCCAAUGCCAAGACAAGAUAGUGAAGUCCAAAUGUGCUACAACAUACAAGUGCAUAUAUUCAAGUUGUGGUGAUUUAUUGGAUUAUUUGAUGGCUUGCAAAUACAUGAGUUGAAGCUUGCAAAUUGGAUGAUCAUAAGCUAACCAAGGUAUAUCUUUGUUGAUCACAUUCAUUUGGGUGCAUAUGAGUUGAUUGAAUUGGAUAAAUAUGCAAUGUUGCUUGCUAUAAGAUGAUUGAAUGGAUUAAAUGGUUAGUAAUCGAGUUUGGAUUGAUUUGAGUUGGAUAAGUUCAUAAGAUAACUUUUAGUAAGUGGAUUGAAUGGAUAUAUGUCUUGUGAAAGUAUUCAAUCAAGUUGAUUUCAAGUUUGAUUCAAUUUGAACAAGCAUAGCUCAAUUGUUUGAAAUCUGUAAAAAAUUUUUUAAAAAAAACUGAGCUAGCAGUGAUCAAGUCUGAGUUUGAGAGAUCAAAUCUAUUUGGAAUGGCUUGAAAUUUGGUAUGCAUGCUGUACAAUUAUCAUAGAAGAUGCUGUAGAAAUUUCAUGAGAAUUGGAUAAGGGAUACUUCGGUUUUGGAGUGGAUCUUAUCAGCUAUAGUGCAGCAGUUUUCAGCAUGUAGCAGUGGUGGAAGAAUUGAAAUCUGGUAGCAAUCUAGAAGCCAAAUGAAGCUCAAAUUUUUACAGCUGCUAGAUGACUUAGUGAAUCACAUCUCCACCAAAUUUCCUGGUAUUUGGAUCUGUACAUUGUGAGAUAUGGGUAUUUCUUUAAAGGGUACAGAAUCUGCCAGAAAAGUGACAAUUAUUGGAUUGAUCUAGAGUCACUUUAAUUGAAAGGUCCUCAAGUUGGAAACAUGUUUAUAAGUGUUUGAGGAACCUAAGUUUGGUUUUGAAUUGAUCUAUAAGCAUGACAAGUAAUGAGUACAAGAUCAUUUGAUUAUGGAAUGUACUUGAUGUACACAUUUAGUACUCAAAUUGAAGAUCAAGAUCAAACUCAAGAUGAAGAUGAAGUUUAAGUUCUAGUAACUAUUGGAAAUCAUUUGGUAGAAAGAAAAGGACUUAAACAAGUAGAAAGAAAAGUACUUAAAGAAGGAUUCUCGGAUAUUCAUCAUAUUAAGUACAUCACUUGAAUCAAUCAAUCAAAGGCAAUUCAAUUGAGUAUCAAGAAUGAUUCUUUGGAGAGAGGUCACUUCUCCCUAUGUGAGGGGCUUGCCGCCCGAGGAGUGGGUAAACCAAGUGUGGUGCUUGGAAGGCUAACAUGGAAGUGGUGAUCUAAAGGACAUUUGAGAUGCUUAGUUGAAGCAAUCAAAAGGAUUGAUCAAGAAAGCAAGCAACAACCCAAAAGAGAGCUAGUCAUGAUAUUUCAAGUGAUAUUCUUAGUAGUUCUCUCAUGCAAGCAAUGAUCAAAAGAAGAAGCAAGUCAACCACAACAAGAUAGUGCACUUAAUCAUAAAGUGGUUUUCAAUUCAUAUGGGUGAAGAUUUGAUCUAUCAAUUGGUAUCUAUGAUUGGCCUUCACCAAGCUUAUUAAUUGGACUUCACAUUGCUAUUGGAGAAAUGAAUUGGAAUCUAUAUGACUAUCCUCUUCUCCAACAUAGCAAAGGUAUCAUUGUAAUGUGCAUGAUCAUUUCAUCCCUUACUAGUAUGCGGUUAGUGCAUAUAGUACAUGCUUAAUAGGAUCAUGCAUGACAAAUGAAAAGUUUUAAAUUCAUAACCUACCACUAUUGCUUGAUUGAUUAAUUGAUCUAGUGUUAUGUAUAUGAGUUUGUUCAUGAGCUAGUGAACCCAAGUACUUGAUCUAUUUUGGAUUGUUAACAAGUAACAAGUACAACAUUGGCAAGAUAACCCUUAAUAUGAGGUGUGAAAAAGCUUGUCAUUGGUUCAAACCAGACUUGGAAGCUUAGGCAAAUCAACAUAGUUCAAGUCAACAAUUAGAAGCUCAUGAUGAUAAGAGUACAAGAACAAGACAACAAUGCAAAUGGAUAUCUAGACUCAAAUGUUUCUUCAAGUAAUAUCCUACAGUUGGUACUCAUUAUGAUGAUAGCAAAUGUUCAGGAUAGCAAACAAGUGGUUCCAUACUAGAAGACCUUAAUUGGUAGAAGAAUCCCAUAUGGUAUCGGACAAGACACUUCAAAUGAUAUCACAUUUAUACAUAUGGUAUCUAUCAUACAAGAAGGUGGUUCCACAAAUGAUCCUCAACUUUAAAUGAUCAUCAAGUGAAGCAAGUUCCCUCACCAACAAGAUUGACAAGUGAAUGACCCAUGCUAUGACAUAGGGGGAGUGCCCCACCAAAUGGUAUCAAGGUCAAAGAUCCUAUGUGGUAUCUCAAGAGCAAUUCAAGAAAUGUCAUUCCAACAUAUAUGGUGAUGUCCAUCAAAAAUACAAGAUUCAAGCCUCAACCAUCUAUCCCAAUGCAAUCCGUUGUCACAAUGAGAUUCACAUUUUUACAAUUGGUAUCAAGUGAUUUAAUUAGUAUCACAUACCUUUUAUGGAAAUUGAUGACAAAGGGGGAGAAGUUGGAACAAAGAUAUGAUCAUGGGAUAAGUUGGACAACAAAAGAUAUAUUUCAAGGGGGAGAGAUCAAAGAUGGAAAUGGACAAGGGAGCAACAUUAAAAGAAAAGAUGAUGGAUCAAAAUUCUUGGACAAAAGAGAAGCACACAAGUAGGGGGAGCAAGCUCAUGAACAUUGAUUGUUUGCAUUUGAUUUGUGCAUAUUCAUGUGCUUGCUUGCAUUACAUAAGUUUUAAAUUCAAUAUAUGCAUGCUUGUGUGGUGUAUGCUAGUUAUAGAACUUGAUUGAUGAUAUGAUAACUAGCAUGCAUAGGUUGGUAGCUAGACUUGUAUUCUUCAAGUAAAAACUAGACCCUUGCUUUUAAUGUUGAUCUCACGGGGUUUCUAGUGUUUUUGUUGUCUAGCUACUCAUGGUGCUAAGGAUGGUGUACAUUGAAUGCUUCAAAUGAUAUCGAAUUUGGUAUCGAACUACAAAGGUUUAUUCUAUACACCUUAGCACUUAGUAGGGUUUUAUGGUGCUUAUCCAAAUCUUGACAAAGAGCUUAAAUGUUGGAUAAGUAGCAUAAAAUCCAAAACAAGUUAGCAAUUUACACUUGUGUGAAGUGCUAGCUUGGAAAAGCUUAAUUUUUCCAUAUCUUUAUAGAGUUGUCAUCAAUUACCAAAAAGGGGGAGAUUGAAAGGUCCUUGUUUGGUUUUGGUAAUUGAGUGACAACUUAGGUGGACUAAUAGUGUUUAUGUGAGAUACACAGGAGAUUAGUCCACAGGUGAUUAUGUGAUGAUGGAGGAGCUCAUUGCAUAUGAGACAUGACAUGGAGUCAUGUGACCAAGGUGGAGAAGAUCAAGAUGAGGCUUGGCUUGAUGGACCGGUUGCAAGAGUGAAGGGCAAGUCGAAGGCUUUGAAGCGAGGGACCGCGUGUGACCGUGAAGCUUGAGCAAGACUUGGCGCCGAUGGACCGAGGCAACGGUGAAGAGCAAGUGAGGUCAAGAUCGAUGAACCAAUACAGUCACAUGAUGAUAUGAAGUGGAUCAUAUCAUUUGGUGAUUGGUUGGUGCAUGUGUUGCAUCAACAUUGGAGGAGUUGGAAUGGAAAGCGCAAGGCAAAGGUAUAACCUAGGGCAUUUCCAUUUCACCGGUCAUAGAUGUGUAGAGAAGUUUAUGACCGGAUUUAGGAUAGAUGGCCGUACUAUCAAGAGGGGCAAACUUGUUUGCAUAUCGGUCAUCUAGUGCCACUAGAGCGAUCUAACUUUGCAUACGUGUUAGGAUCGAGUGGCGUGGCAAGUCUGAGAGGCUAACUCCUUUGGGAAAAUGUUUGUGAAAAUGCUAACACACUUGCACAUGGUGGUGUACACUUGUUGGUGUUGGCACACUUUACAAAGGAGGUGGAGUUCCUAGGGUUGAGAGGGGUGUGGGUUCCUCUCUCCCUCCCGCCGAGCUUGCUCGGCGGGAUUCGGCGCUUUUUGAGAAAAUUAAGUGCAUAUUUUCUAUUGCGCUGGUGGGAAUUUUGGAGAAGUCACGGGAGUGUUUCUCAGUAGGAAACACUCACCGGACGCUCUGCGCGGAGGCACCGGACGCUGGCCUUUAGCGUCCGGUGUGCUGUCGGGUGCAGCAGAGUGCACCGGACGCACCGGAGAGAGUCCGGUGCCCAGCGUCCGGUGUGCGGGCGGUUUGGCGACCCUCUCUGCGCAUGAGUCCGGUGAGCACCGGACGCUCUGGGUGCGUCCGGUGGCUUGCGUCCGGUGACCGUGCGAGUUUGCGGAGCUCUCUGCGCACGGGUCCGGUGUGCACCGGACGUGUCCGGUGUGGACUAGUUGAGCGUCCGGUGGUGUUGUGUCAGGCGCGAGCGCGUGGUAGCCGUUGGCGGCAACGGUCGAGUUCAAACGGCUAGUGACACGUGGUCGACGCUUGAGCACCGGACGCUGAGGGUUGAGCGUCCGGUGGCUCCCUAUGAGCGUGCGGUGCCCACGUGCUUUGCCCAGUGAAGGGGCAACGGCUAGUUUAGCCCUUGGGGCUAUAAAUAGAAGUGGUGGCCGGCCUUGGCUGGUGCUGAGCACCCUUGGGACUUAGUGUCCAUGCUUGGGGAGUGCUAGUGAAGCCUCUAACUCACAUAUGCUUGAUAGUGAUCAUCCGAUUGUGUGAGUGAGCGAUUCUAGUGCGUUGCAUUGAGAGAUUGCAUCGAGUGGCACUAGGUGUUCGUGUUGCAAGCUGGUGGUGCUUGUUACUCUUGGAGGUUGCCACCUCCUAGACGGCUUGGUGGCUUGUGACUCCGUCGAAG
rnacentral:lncRNA from 1 species